rnacentral:rRNA from 1 species
GCAAGUCGAACGAAGUCUUCGGACUUAGUGGCGGACGGGUGAGUAACACGUGGGAACGUGCCUUUAGGUUCGGAAUAACUCAGGGAAACUUGUGCUAAUACCGAAUGUGCCCUUCGGGGGAAAGAUUUAUCGCCUUUAGAGCGGCCCGCGUCUGAUUAGCUAGUUGGUGAGGUAAAGGCUCACCAAGGCGACGAUCAGUAGCUGGUCUGAGAGGAUGAUCAGCCACAUUGGGACUGAGACACGGCCCAAACUCCUACGGGAGGCAGCAGUGGGGAAUCUUGCGCAAUGGGCGAAAGCCUGACGCAGCCAUGCCGCGUGAAUGAUGAAGGUCUUAGGAUUGUAAAAUUCUUUCACCGGGGACGAUAAUGACGGUACCCGGAGAAGAAGCCCCGGCUAACUUCGUGCCAGCAGCCGCGGUAAUACGAAGGGGGCUAGCGUUGCUCGGAAUUACUGGGCGUAAAGGGAGCGUAGGCGGACAUUUAAGUCAGGGGUGAAAUCCCGGGGCUCAACCUCGGAAUUGCCUUUGAUACUGGGUGUCUUGAGUGUGAGAGAGGUAUGUGGAACUCCGAGUGUAGAGGUGAAAUUCGUAGAUAUUCGGAAGAACACCA